rnacentral:misc_RNA from 1 species
GAUAUAUCCAUUGAUUGAUCUGUUGAUGUGCUUCUUCUACUAUAGGCCCACGCAUGAUAGUCAAUGGAAUCUGUCCUUCAGGCUUUAUGAGAAAUGUCCCAUUGGGUCGGAAGAUAUAUGCUCCAGCAUUCUGUGGAUCUUUAUCAUUUCCAGUUCCAUUAUAUCCAGCAUAAAAACUGAAUGACCGUUCAACCAAUUCCUCAACUGAGUUUCUGCUAUUAAUAUAAUUAGUGUGUUUGCUUUCG